UUCUACAUCUUGAUAACUCUAAUCUCUUAUACACACCAACAACGUUGUCAAACCACAUCUCCUAUUUCUCUUCCCUUUAUCUCUUGAGUAUCCGGAAACCGUUUGUUACCACUGCCUUUCGUACGCCAUCGUUACAACCUACAAGAAGCUACCAUCCAUUCCCUAUUAACCCUCACAUGCUUAACUAAAAAUUCUUCCUUCUCAACAGUAAGAUCGACUCCCUGUAAAACACUAGUCGGAGACACUGUUCGCAUGCUUACCUAAAACUUCUUCCUUUUCAACAGUAAGAUCGACUCACUGUAAAACACUAGCCGGAGACACCGUUGUCGAGGACCUGCUUCCUUCCCUCACUUUUUUUGAUUGUAUGGAUGAUUGUAGCAUAUUGCAAAACCAUAUCCCCAAUCGUAACUUGGAAUCCUCCUGAAGGAGUAAGAUAUGUAGCUUUCCAUUUGGUGUUAGUGGAAAUUUUUAGCUUUGGCUCACCACCCAUUCGAUGAAAUGCCUCAGAGGUCACGAGAAAAGUUGUAACUGCAUCAAUGACAGAAAGCUGAUUACAACAAGCCUUCACACAUCCAAUUUAUAAAAACUAUCAAUCCUAUGAAAUAUUGGUGGUUGUUAUAGUUUGAAGGAUAUUAUUGUAACAAUGACGUUAUUCUGUUAACUGUUAACAUAAUAAUAUCAUGUUGUCUUCCUCCCUCUGUUGACAUUUGAAGUAACCAUUAUUGUUGACAAUUUCAGCAACAUGUGAUGGGGACUAAUGAUGAAGAAACUCAGAGGUUUUUUAAGCAUUCUUCAGUGAAAGUGCUACUUUAUACCCGAUUUACUUCAAAUUUUGACUAAAUGACUGUUUUACCCUUACAUUCCAACAAAUUAUUAUAAAGGUACAUUGGUGAAUAGCAAAAGUCAAUGCUUACGAUUCCACUUAAUUUGUCAAAACAAAUUCCUAUUUUUUAUUUUUAUUUUUUUAUUUAAGGGUGACAAUUUUGUCUUUUGGUUUAGUCUCUACUCCUGCGCCUCUUGCGAUUUUGCCCCUCUCCGAUAGUAAGUACCUCACAAUUUUAGCUCUUUUUUCUACCUCAUAACAUGCUUAAUUUGCUCUCUAGAUCUCUUUAUCUCAUUAUUAUGUGACUGGAGUGUAAAAAUCAUUUGCCUUUGUUACUGUGUCACCAUGCCUCUCACACUGUAAUUGUCGAAUUUGUUAAUAAUUGUUUUACUGGUGAUAUACUCUACGUUUGUCUAUACUCUGUAAGUCUAAUUUGUAUGUAUUUUUAUUUUUUUUAUAAUAUUUAUCUCAAUAGAACAAUGUGUUUAAAAAAAGGAAAUCUGAUUGGUACUCUAUGUCAUCGUUCAUCAACCACGAUCGAUUUGUUUUAUCACUAGCUAAUUAUAAUUUAUUUGUUUUUAAAAAAAAAUCUAAUUAAAUUCUGUCCCAAUUUUUAAUUUCAUGAUUAGAGUAAAGUUAAGUAUUAGAUAGUGCGCUUGAUGCACAUGUAUGGAAUAUAAAUUAUAAGUAUCGCCACUAAUUUAAUAUAAAAAAUGUAUUUUAAAUGAUUUUAAUUAUUGUUAGGUGUUACUUUGGGGAUAACAGUUCUCUUGCGAAUGAAAUCCAAAAAGAAAUGAAGGUAUUAAAUAGAAAAUUGUUGAAAGCUAAAGAUAAAAACACAAAGAGGGAAAUCCAUAAAAACUUAGGAUCCUUUCAAAAGAAGAAGGCAAAAGGCAACAACUUGUUGUGACAAAUGUAAUUAAAAAUUCAUCUGUCGUUCUAGCAACUCUCACAGGUUCUUCAUCAAGAAAAUUAGAUGGAAUUUCAUUUGAUUUAGUCAUUAUUGAUGAAGCUGCUCAGGCCUAGAGAUUGCUUGUUGGAUUGCUCUUUUCAAGGGUUCAAGGUGCUUACUUUCAGGGGAUCAUUUACAACUUCCUCCAACAAUUUGAAAUGUUGAAGCUAAAAAAAAGGGAUUAGGAAACACUCUUUUUAAACGCCUUGCAGAUUUAUAUGGAGAUGAUGUCAUGUCUAUGCCGAUUGUUCAAUAUAGCAUGCAUGAACUUAUAAUGACUUGGUCUUCUAAAGAGCUUUACAACAAUAAGACUAAAGCUCAUGCAAGUGUUGUUGGACAUACCCUAUAUGAGCUUGUAGGUGUUGAGAAGUCUUCUUCUCCACUGAACCUACUCUUCUUCUCAUAGAUAUUGCAGGGUGUGAUAUGGAUGAAAAGAAGGAUGAAAAAGAAAGCAUAUUGAAUGAAGGUGAAGCUGAGAUUGCUAUAGCACAUGCAAGAAGGUUGAUUCAAAGUGGUGUACAUACUUCUCAUAUUGGAGUCAUUACUCCUUACUCAGCACAAGUAAAGUAGAAUUUGGAUCUGGUUUAAUGGAAUUAAGUAACGGAAUGGAAUCGUUGAUUCCAUUGGAAUGGAAAUAACUUCUUAGGUUGUGUUGCUAAGAGUGUUGAGUACAAAGGAUGACAAGUUAGAAGAAUUGAAAAUCUCAACUGUGGAUGGGCUAGGGGGGGGGUGGGGAAUAAGUGAUUAUUGUUUCAAUGGUUAGGUCAAAUUCAAAGACAGUGGUAUUUUUUUUUAUUAUUAUUUUUUUUAUUCUUGUGGUGUUUUAUAAUUGAUUUAAAAUUCAAUGAAAAUGUUGACAUUGGUUUUAAAAUUCAA